rnacentral:rRNA from 1 species
CCUACGGGAGGCAGCAGUAGGGAAUAUUUCUCAAUGGGGGAAACCCUGAAGCAGCAACGCCGCGUGGAGGAUGAAGGUUUUCGGAUUGUAAACUCCUUUUGUUAGAGAAGAUAAUGACGGUAUCUAACGAAUAAGCACCGGCUAACUCCGUGCCAGCAGCCGCGGUAAUACGGAGGGUGCAAGCGUUACUCUGAAUCACUGGGCGUAAAGAGCGCGUAGGCGGGAUAGCAAGUCAGAUGUGAAAGCCUAUGGCUUAACCAUAGAACUGCAUUUGAAACUGUUAUUCUAGAGUAUGGGAGAGGUAGGUGGAAUUCUUGGUGUAGGGGUAAAAUGCGUAGAGAUCAAGAGGAAUACUCAUUGCGAAGGCGACCUGCUAGAACAUAACUGACGCUGAUGCGCGAAAGCGUGGGGAGCAAAAAGGAUUAGAUACCCCAGUAGUC